UACGAAGGGGGCGAGCGUUGUUCGGAUUUACUGGGCGUAAAGAGUGUGUAGGCGGUGCUCUAAGUUCGGUGUGAAAUCUCCCGGCUUAACUGGGAGGGUGCGCCGGAAACUGGAGUGCUCGAACGUGGGAGAGGGAAGCGGAAUUCCUGGUGUAGCGGUGAAAUGCGUAGAUAUCAGGAGGAACACCUGCGGUGUAGACGGCUUUCUGGACCAUUGUUGACGCUG
rnacentral:rRNA from 1 species